ensembl:lncRNA MIR99AHG mir-99a-let-7c cluster host gene
GGGGAGGGGGUGGCGUGUGAGUGCGUGGAGGGUAAAAGCCAGUCAGUCAGUGAGAAGCAAAGAUCAACCACCUCAGAAGAGCCAGAUUCCACUUCUGUGGCCAGGACUUUUACAUUAUGGCUGGUCCGAUUGUUUUACCCUGCGUUCUAUGCUACUAAACCUUGGAUCAUUCCUAAAGUACAAAUUCUGUUCUCGAACCACAAACAAGGCUAAAAGAUCGGAGGAAAUUCAGUGAAUAUACAGGAUUGGGGUUGUGUAUUUUUAAAAGUAUUGAGCUUUAUAAUGUAAUUAUUCAAGAAAUAGAAUCAUGGUUUUUUUAUGAUGUUGCCAGCAUUUUAAAUUACAUGUUUAUUAAGUGGCAUUGCUCAAAUAACUACAGAGUAUGCGUGGAAAUAUUUGCUGUCUGAAUAGUUUGGAGAUUCAAAGAGAAAAAUCAAGCUUCAGAGGUGUCUGAUGAUUUGUGAGCCUCAAGUGACUACUCUGUGGAAUCAUCUGUCCUUGCCUUUGAAUUAGCUUUCCCUAGGCCAUGAGUCAACAUUAGUAGUUUAUACAUCCAAAUUGUGUUGACUUCAUUCUCAGGUAAGCUUUCUGAAUGUGGUGGCAAAGAUGGCCACAUACAACUUCAGACUUGCAUCAUGCGUCAUCCUACAGCCUGUGAAUCCAGGAAAAAUAAACAAACAAAAAGAUUCUCUUUAUGCCAACAUCAAUUUCAGUUGUCAGAAAAUCUUGGAUUGGCUCUGUUUUGGUGACAUGCCCAUAUGUGGAUCCACUUAUUUGAUAAACAAGGACUACUCUGAUUGGAUGGCCAAUGUAGGGAGGCAAAAGACGACUAGCCUAUCAAGGUCAUGAGGAAUGAGUGAGGGUCUGUCAGUCGUAGAAAGUGAAAGGAAUUUAAAGCAGGCGGGAAUGUAAUGGAACACACAACCACCACUACACAUUUUUUAAUUACUGAGUAUAAUGAUGAUUGAUAGGCUUUUGAAAAUGUUUGUCUUGGUAAACUCACUGGUACCUAUCAAUGUGUAGGCAACAUUAGUUUAUUUUGCCAAAUGUCCUCUUACAGCAUGGAAACUAUAAAACAUCUGCUGCAGCAAAUCUCAACCUUGAGUGUCAUGAGAUUAAUUACUUUUAUUAACACUUUCCAUAAGCAUGUAAUAUAUGACAUAUACCAGGAAAGUCAGCAUUUGGUCUCAUUUAGGAAUUUGAAAUUUUAAAAAUUAUUUAAGAUUACUAGAAAUUGUUUGGUAAAGAAGAGAUGAUUAUUUUUUUCUGUAGCCUAUUGUGUCUAUCCUUAACCACCAUAUGAUCAGACCAUUUCCUUACAGCAAAUUUUAUAUCCUCCCCACUUUUACCUCUAAUGUUAGAGAUAAUUAGUGCUGAUUCUUGGAAAUUUUUAUUUUUGUUUAUGAAUUAAUUUCUUCCUCUACUACUAUUAUACAUAUAUAUAUGCAUUAUAUAUACAUAUGUGUGUGUGUGUUUGUGUGUAUGAUGUAUAUAUGAUGGCUACAGUUAUAAAAUAAGGAUGUUAGAUUCUUAUUCCAUAUCCUUUACCUUGUUGCUCUUUUGUUUAUCAUAGUAUGACCUGGGUGGUUUUUAACAUUUUACCAUCAAGAACUACUAUUUAGGAAUCUUUCUCAAUGAAAAAGAGAUUAAUUUACUAUGAAUAAUGGUUCUAAUGCAAAACAUUUUGGGCUUUUGUUGUGAUGCAGAUGAGCAAAGCCAUAAAUAUAAUUUAGAGAGUUUGAAAAUGUAUUUUAACAUUCACAAUUCUUCUUACUAAUUAAUCAAAUUACAAAAUUAUGCUGUGGCUUCCAGUAUAUUAAAAUAAGUUGUCAUAUUUGGAACAUCUGUUUAUGGUCCUAUUAUGAAUAUGUAUUUCUAAAGGGCUGAAAUAUAGAUUGCCAUAAAUAAUGUUUGCAAUUUA